CCUACGGGUGGCAGCAGUGAGGAAUAUUGGUCAAUGGGCGAGAGCCUGAACCAGCCAAGUCGCGUGAGGGAGUACUGCCCUACGGGUUGUAAACUUCUUUUAUAAAGGCAUAAAGUGAGGCACGUGUGCCUUUUUGUAUGUACUUUAUGAAUAAGGAUCGGCUAACUCCGGGCCAGCAGCCGCGGUAAUACGGAGGAUCCGAGCGUUAUCCGGAUUUAUUGGGUUUAAAGGGAGCGUAGAUGGGUUGUUAAGUCAGUUGUGAAAGUUUGCGGCUCAACCGUAAAAUUGCAAUUGAUACUGGCAGCCUUGAGUACAGUUGAGGUAGGCGGAAUUCGUGGUGUAGCGGUGAAAUGCUUAGAUAUCACGAAGAACUCCGAUUGCGAAGGCAGACUACUAAACUGCCACUGACAUUGAUGCUCGAAAGUGUGGGUAUCAAACAGGAUUAGAUACCCUAGUAGUC
rnacentral:rRNA from 1 species